rnacentral:ncRNA from 1 species
AAUUCACCAAUGUUAAUACUAUUUAGUACGAGAGGAACCGCAGCUUCAGGCAUUUGGUACAUGUGCCUGGUCGAGCGGCCAAUGGUGUGAAGCUACCAUCUGAGGGAUUAAGACUGAACGCCUCUAAGCCUGAAUUCCGUCCAGAGAUGCGCAACGAUACAGCUUGGCCUGCAUGUGGUAGGGCAGAUAUAGUACUUUCCGGUCAGGUUUCAUUCGGAUGUGGCCAGUGUAACCUACCGAAUCUAGUUUGUUCGGUGAUUCUAUGCCAGAGCUGUGACCAUAACCACAUGCACCGGGCCAUGGUGUUGUGGGUGUCGACACGAUAUCCAAUUGUGGUAGAAGCGUGGCGGUAUUAAAUCGUUUGUAGAUGACUAAAUGUUUUGUCGGGGAGACGUGAGUAUUCGAGCAGCUAUCACACUGCGAGGUAUUGAGUCCUAUUCCUACCCGACGCAAGGCUUU